CAGCAGCCGCGGUAAUACGGAGGGGGCUAGCGUUGUUCGGGAUUACUGGGCGUAAAGCGCACGUAGGCGGCUUUUUAAGUCAGAGGUGAAAGCCCGGAGCUCAACUCCGGAACUGCCUUUGAGACUGGGAGGCUUGAACGUCGGAGAGGUGAGUGGAAUUCCGAGUGUAGAGGUGAAAUUCGUAGAUAUUCGGAAGAACACCAGUGGCGAAGGCGGCUCACUGGACGACUGUUGACGCUGAGGUGCGAAAGCGUGGGGAGCAAACAGGAUUAGAUACCCCGGUAGUCCCUGUCUCUUAUAC
rnacentral:rRNA from 1 species